UUCUAAAGAUUCAGGUGUUGUUGGGGUUGAAUAGAAGGUGGAGUGUUUGAAAGAUUGAGAGAAUUCAUCUACAAAUGUCAUGGUUUUGGUGAUACGCCAUAUUGUUACACCAGCUAAGAUUACUGAUGCGGCAGAAUAAGUCUGUAGAUGUCGACAUGAUCUUGAUGUGGUUUAUUGAUACAACAGUGGUCAUAAAUCAAACAAGUUUGGACUUGUUAGUCUUUUAACAUCUUAGCGUUGUCGUACAUCGGCAACAAACAAUCAUGUAUUUUCUUUCACAGAUAGAAGAACAAACUAUAUAUGUCCUUAUUGCUCAGUGUUCUAUUUUGAUCCA